rnacentral:rRNA from 1 species
GACGAACGCUGGCGGCGCGCUUAACACAUGCCAGUCGAACGGAAAGGCCUGCUUUCCCUUGUGGAUUGCGGGUACUCGAGUGGCGAACGGGUGAGUAACACGUGAGUGAUCUGCCCCCAACUUGGGUAUAAGCCUGGGAAACUGGGUCUAAUUCCCGAUAGGACUGCAGGGUGGUGCCUGUGGUGGAAAACGAUUUUCUAGUGGUUGGGGAUGAGCUCGCGGCCUAUCAGCUUGUUGGUGGGGUAAUGGCCUACCAAGGCGGCGACGGGUAGCCGGCCUGAGAGUGUGGACGGCCACAUUGGGACUGAGAUACGGCCCAGAGUCCUACGGGAGGCAGCAGUGGGGAAUAUUGCACAAUGGGCGGAAGCCUGAUGCAGCGACGCCGCGUGGGGGAUGACGGCCUUCGGGUUGUAAACUCCUUUCGACCGCGAGGAAGCCACCUGGUUGGAAGGGUGGUGACGGUAGUGGUAGAAGAAGCACCGGCUAACUACGUG